UUGGCUUGAAGUCCCCCACCACUGACGUCUGGGGGUCAAUGGGUUGGGCAUCCAGAGCAGCAGAGCUGUGGGGAGGAGCCCACCCUGUGAUUCCUUUCCUUGGAGGUUCCCAGGAAGCCUGUUCUCCUCCUUUCAAAACUCAGUGCCGCCGUAUUCCCACCUGAGGUCAUUAGCCUCAGCCUAGGUUGAAAUCAAAGUGUGUCUGUUUGUCUAAUUGCCCAGACACCAUCAAACCCUCAUUACCACCGGCCUGGUUGCUUCGAAACCCAGCAUAUUAUCCUGUUGAACAAUGAGGCCGAUGAGAAGCAGUUGCUGCCCCUGCCUGGGGACAGAAGGGCGGGUGGGACUCAAGUGGUUGGAGGGGACGUCCUGGCAGAGCUGGGUCCUCAGCGUCACCACUCAGCUUUCUGGGCACAGGUGAGCAAAUGGAGGCACAGAGAAUAGAAGCCACUUACCCAAGGUUCUGUGUAACUAUUAAGUAGCGGAGCUGAGAUUUGAACCCUGGCAGUCUGGCCCCAUGGUGAGUGGCCUCAGUUGCUACACACCAGUUCCACGCCUGCCCCUCCCCCACGCUGCUGGAAUACUGUCCAUCAGAGCAAGGACUGGGUCCUGAGUACCUGCUCAGAAAUAGUCUGGGGGCUCCAUCCAGGGGGUCUCCACCACCUCCCUCUGAAGAGGAAAAGUUAUUGCAAGUUGUGCCAAGAUGGCUGCUGCAUCUCCAGCUCUUCGGUCUAUGUCUCCAGGGCCAAGGCUUCAAGGACAUACCUCCCAGCUGAGUAAGCUCCCUUUAUAGAAUGUUCCAGAAAGCCCCAUCCAACAUUUGCCACCUAUAUUUCAUGGGCCACACCAUUGCAAGGGAAAAUGGGAAAUGUGUGGGGGUUUUUUUUUGUAAGUUGGAAAAUUGCUACCUGCCAAAAUAUAGGGGUUUUGUUAGUGAGGAGAGAAGGGAAAAUAGAUUUUGAAUAUUUAUUAGCAGUCUCUGCCACAGACCCCACAACCCUUCUUUUCUUUUCGUUCCAGUGAUGCAGAAUUAAGUGGCAAAUUGAACCCCACUUUUGUUUCUUGCUAAUUGUUCUUAUAAAAUGCCCUUUUCACUCUGAGCCCAU